UGGGGAAUCUUCCGCAAUGGACGAAAGUCUGACGGAGCAACGCCGCGUGAGUGAUGACGGCCUUCGGGUUGUAAAGCUCUGUUAAUCGGGACGAAAGGCCUUCUUGCGAAUAGUGAGAAGGAUUGACGGUACCGGAAUAGAAAGCCACGGCUAACUACGUGCCAGCAGCCGCGGUAAUACGUAGGUGGCAAGCGUUGUCCGGAAUUAUUGGGCGUAAAGCGCGCGCAGGCGGAUAGGUCAGUCUGUCUUAAAAGUUCGGGGCUUAACCCCGUGAUGGGAUGGAAACUGCCAAUCUAGAGUAUCGGAGAGGAAAGUGGAAUUCCUAGUGUAGCGGUGAAAUGCGUAGAUAUUAGGAGGAACACCAGUGGCGAAGGCGACUUUCUGGACGAAAACUGACGCUGAGGCGCGAAAGCCAGGGGAGCGAACGGGAUUAGAUACCCCGGUAGUCCUGGCCGUAAACGAUGGGUACUAGGUGUAGGAGGUAUCGACCCCUUCUGUGCCGGAGUUAACGCAAUAAGUACCCCGCCUGGGGAGUACGACCGCAAGGUUG
rnacentral:rRNA from 1 species